AGCGAACGCUGGCGGCAGGCUUAACACAUGCAAGUCGAACGCCCGGGCAACCGGGAGUGGCAGACGGGUGAGUAACACGUGGGAACGUACCCUUUGGUUCGGAAUAACUCAGGGAAACUUGAGCUAAUACCGGAUAAGCCCUUAUGGGGAAAGAUUUAUCGCCGAAGGAUCGGCCCGCGUCCGAUUAGCUAGUUGGUGAGGUAAUGGCUCACCAAGGCGACGAUCGGUAGCUGGUCUGAGAGGAUGAUCAGCCACACUGGGACUGAGACACGGCCCAGACUCCUACGGGAGGCAGCAGUGGGGAAUAUUGGACAAUGGGGGCAACCCUGAUCCAGCCAUGCCGCGUGAGUGAUGAAGGCCCUAGGGUUGUAAAGCUCUUUCAGACGGAAAGAAAUCGCAUCUUCUAAUACAGGGUGUGGAUGACGGUACCGUAAGAAGAAGCACCGGCUAACUACGUG
rnacentral:rRNA from 1 species